GUUGCAGGGUAUAGACCCGAAACCCGGUGAUCUAGCCAUGGGCAGGUUGAAGGUUGGGUAACACUAACUGGAGGACCGAACCGACUAAUGUUGAAAAAUUAGCGGAUGACCUGUGGCUGGGGGUGAAAGGCCAAUCAAACCGGGAGAUAGCUGGUUCUCCCCGAAAGCUAUUUAGGUAGCGCCUCGUGAAUUCAUCUCCGGGGGUAGAGCACUGUUUCGGCUAGGGGGCCAUCCCGGCUUACCAACCCGAUGCAAACUGCGAAUACCGGAGAAUGUUAUCACGGGAGACACACGGCGGGUGCUAACGUCCGUCGUGAAGAGGGAAACAACCCAGACCGCCAGCUAAGGUCCCAAAGUCAUGGUUAAGUGGGAAACGAUGUGGGAAGGCCCAGACAGCCAGGAUGUUGGCUUAGAAGCAGCCAUCAUUUAAAGAAAGCGUAAUAGCUCACUGGUCGAGUCGGCCUGCGCGGAAGAUGUAACGGGGCUAAACCAUGCACCGAAGCUGCGGCAGCGACGCUGAUGCGUUGUUGGGUAGGGGAGCGUUCUGUAAGCCUGCGAAGGUGGCCUGUGAGGGUUGCUGGAGGUAUCAGAAGUGCGAAUGCUGACAUAAGUAACGAUAAAGCGGGUGAAAAGCCCGCUCGCCGGAAGACCAAGGGUUCCUGUCCAACGUUAAUCGGGGCAGGGUGAGUCGACCCCUAAGGCGAGGCCGAAAGGCGUAGUCGAUGGGAAACGGGUUAAUAUUCCCGUACUUGGUGUUACUGCGAAGGGGGGACGGAGAAGGCUAUGUUGGCCGGGCGACGGUUGUCCCGGUUUAAGCGUGUAGGUGUGUGUUCCAGGUAAAUCCGGUUCACUUUAACACUGAGGCGUGACGACGAGGCACUACGGUGCUGAAGCAACAAAUGCCCUGCUUCCAGGAAAAGCCUCUAAGCAUCAGGUAACAUCAAAUCGUACCCCAAACCGACACAGGUGGUCAGGUAGAGAAUACCAAGGCGCUUGAGAGAACUCGGGUGAAGGAACUAGGCAAAAUGGUGCCGUAACUUCGGGAGAAGGCACGCUGACACGUAGGUGAAGUGAUUUACUCAUGGAGCUGAAGUCAGUCGAAGAUACCAGCUGGCUGCAACUGUUUAUUAAAAACACAGCACUGUGCAAACACGAAAGUGGACGUAUACGGUGUGACGCCUGCCCGGUGCCGGAAGGUUAAUUGAUGGGGUCAGCGCAAGCGAAGCUCCUGAUCGAAGCCCCGGUAAACGGCGGCCGUAACUAUAACGGUCCUAAGGUAGCGAAAUUCCUUGUCGGGUAAGUUCCGACCUGCACGAAUGGCGUAAUGAUGGCCAGGCUGUCUCCACCCGAGACUCAGUGAAAUUGAACUCGCUGUGAAGAUGCAGUGUACCCGCGGCAAGACGGAAAGACCCCGUGAACCUUUACUAUAGCUUGACACUGAACAUUGAGCCUUGAUGUGUAGGAUAGGUGGGAG
rnacentral:rRNA from 1 species